UUACUUCUCUAAUUAGAAGGUGGUGAUGUGGCUUUGGAAUCCUUGAUUACAGAGGCACUUCCUGAUCUCCCUGGUUUGCCUGGAUCCAAGCAGGGGAAGGAUGCUCUUCUGGGAUGAGCUGCUGCUCUUUCUGGCUGCAGUCUUGACCUUAAAAAAGGAGAAGAAGCCAAAAGUUCCAUCCCCAGAAGCCCUAAACCCAGCACGAAUCGGUGUGACGCAGGCACAAACCUCCCAGGGCCAAGCAAGGUUGCACCCCGGCGCUGCGCACCCUCCCCUGCCUGCCUUGCCAUCAGACAAGCGUUCGCUCCUGUUCCACCUCCGGGUUUUAAAUAGCUGCGUGUCUACACCGCGGCCAAGCAGCUCUGUCUGCGAGGGGCUGCUUCUGGAAGGGAAACAGAGGAAAUGCUUUUGCCAGAAACGCUGUGAGUGGUGCAAGCCAAAGGGGAGCCUGCAAAGGCUCCGCCGCCCAGCGCUCCCCCGUGGCUUUGUUGGGGCUCACCAAAGGCUGUGUUUCGGAGCAGCCUUCAGAUCAGAUGAAUGAAGGUCCCUUCUUGGGAAGGUGUGACCACCUCCGGGCCCCUCCGGCGCCCGGGGACACCAGCUGGAGCCUUGCCACAGGCUGUGAGGACCUUGGCUCCAGACCCGGAGCCAACGU